AUCCCGGGGAGUUGGGAGGCCGAGGCAGGCAAAAUAAUAAUAAUAAUAAUAAUAAUAAUAAAAGGCUGAAUGCGGUGGCGCGGCGCACGCCUUUAAAUCCCAGCACUCGGGAGGCAGAGGCAAGCGGAUCCCCGAGGUCGGGGUCUACAGAGCGAGUCCAGGACAGCCAGGGCUACACAGAGAAACGCUGCUUCGAAAACAAAACAAAAAGAUCAGCAGGAGGAGCCUGGUAGCGAAAGUCUGUCUGCUGGGCGAGGGGCCUGCGACUCUUUGGGACACUGUGACAGCCUAGCAGGCUUUGUGCCUCGAGUUGCCCAAGGGGCCCUCCACAAGAGUUAAAUUCGUGUGCCUCGGUGUCCCUUUUUAUACAAGUUUUUAUUAGUUUGUAUUUGUUUUGCAUGGUAAGAAAUCGGUUGCCAGCAGCCUCCAACCAUGUGUAACUCCAGCUCCAGAGGGUCCAAUGCCUCUGGCCUCUGUGGGUACCACACUUUUAGAUCCAUACCCACAUGCAGAGACACAAAUACACGUAGCUAAACUACUAAAAAUGUAAAAGGAAAAAAGUAUGGAUGUAUGGUGUGUGUGUGUGUGUGUGUGUGUGUGUGUGUGGGCUGACUUGUGGAAAGCUUAACAAGGUGGUGAAGACAUGGACCCUAGGGAAAGGCUUCCACGGCUAAACCCUUUCCAGCUUGUAGUUAGACCUCACAGAAAUGCACAUUUUUCCUUUCUUUCGGGGUGGGGGUGGGAGGGUGGAGGGGCAGUUGCCCCCUCGGAAAUCAAUAGGCAGACCAGCCUGGUCUCAAACGCACAGAGAAUGGCCUACCUCUGCCUCCUCAGCGCCGGGAUUAAAGGUGUGUGCAAGAUCUGUCCUUGGAAAACUAGGCGCCGCCCACCAUCCCCUCCUGCCGUGAGCCUGACCUCAGAGUCCACAGGACACCACUGCUUCCUGCCUGGGAACUUGUGGGGAUCAUGACCUGGAAAGACAAGUUCUUGCCAAUCUGGGAGUCACCCCUCCAAGGACACCUGACCACUGAGCCCACCACAGAGGCUGUACAACAGGGCUGAGCCUGCUACACUUGGCUAAAGGAGCUAUGAAUGAAAAGGGGCUAGAGCCGAAGAAGUUUUUGGAAAAUGAGAGUCGGAAGAAGUGCUGGUGGAUUCAUUUAGUUUCAGCAGUCUGCAGGCAAGAGGACUGUAGAGGCUCCUCUACCAGGGAUACCACAGCAACCAUACCUGCCCAGGACCCAGAGAAGGCAACAGCAACCAAAGAGCCGAAAACCCACACAACAAAGAUGAAACCGGAUGUAAUACCAAGAAAUACCUCAAGUAUCAUACCUCCAGAUGCCUAGAUCUCAGUGUAAAAGGCACUCCCAGGCUCAGGCCCCCAUGAUGAAAAUACCACUCAAGCUGUAAAACUCAGCACAUAGCCAGCACCAUCUGCCAAAAGAGAGCCAAGGCCUAAUCCAUCAAAGUCCAUAUAGUUCUGGGAAAGUCUGAAUGUACUCACCUCGCUUUUUGGCUGUAGUAGUUCUGCUUCUGGCUAACUGUUCUUAGUAGCUGAAGUAUGUCAACCCAAACCUUGGUUAUUGUGCUUAAAAGUUCACCCUAGGAAAGGCUCAACGCUAUGCCAGGAUCCAGAACACUCAACUGUGGUCCCUAGACCUGGAGAGAUGGCUCAGAGGUUAAGAGCACUGGCUGUUCCUCCAAAGGUCCUGAGUUCAAUUCCCAGCAACUACAUGGUGGCUCAUAACCAUCUGGAAUGAGAUCUGAUGCCCUCUUCUGGCCUGCAAGUGUAAUGCAGGCAGAACACUGUAUACAUAAUAAAUUAAUUUAAAAAAGAAAUACAGUCAAUAAAGAAAACCUCAACUGGAAGUGAAAAUUUUAGGAUAGCAGACAAAAACCCGAGACCCGUGCUAUCUCUGCUCACUCCUCACUGGAGAAGCUUCUUGAGUGAAUGGGAACCAACACAGACACACAACUGACAGCGUGCAGAGUGAGAGACUGGAGCGCCCAGCCUUUAAAAGUUGUUUUCACUGACUCCGACAGAGGGCUCAGACACCUGUGAGGAAGAGGAGGAGCACGUGUGAGAGCCAGAGGGCAUGAUGACACCAAGGACCCAGUGUCUUCCAGACACAGCAGGACUGACGCACAUGUGAACUCACAGAGGCUGUGGCAACGCGCAGAGCCUCUACAGGCUGAAGCCAGAUGGCGUCCUAAAGCUGAGAGGGGAAGUGGGCAUGAGCUCCCACCCUUAACCAAGAAGCAACCUCCAGUUGUCAUCCGGGUGUGAAGAAAAAAUCCAUUUUCUCCAGUGGAGUCUCACUGUGGAUAUAUUCACACUUCAGGGUAGGCCCAUGCCCAGCAGCACAUGGCCAAGACAAAUUCACCUCGGGGUUUGUUUAUGUUUUUGUUCUUCAUGCUUUUGUGUAUGUGUGUUUCUUUUUGUUGUUAUUUGAGACAGGAUCUAUGUGGCCUUGGCGGUCCUGGAACUGUCUGUGUAGCCCAGGCUAGCCUGGAACUCAGAGAUCCACCUGCCUCUGCCUUUGAGUGCUGAGAUCAAAGGCAUUUGCCACCACUUCCUGGCUGUUUGUUUCAAAAAGAAAUAAAGAAUAUAACGUUAGGAGCAUGGGAAGACUUGGGGGAGAGGACACAUGAUAAAAAUACACUGUAUGAAUUUUCCAUUAAAACAAACAAAAGUAGGCAGCUGGCUGAUCUGAAACUGUGGGUACAGAAAGAAGCAGAGCAUUUGCAGCAAGUACGUCUGCCCGGAACCCAAGACCCCGGAUAUCAGGCCCCUCCACUGCUGUUAGUGGAUAGCGGACCACACAGCCUGAUCUCGGGAGAAGCUCACCCCAGAGAGCAAUACCUGAGAAAGGGUCUGUAGGCCCAGAAGUGCUCCCUGAUUGCAGCCAUAACCAGAAUAGGUGGAGAAGCUCAGCCCGCAGUGGCGUGGGCGAGGGCCGCACACCUGGAUCAGAUCUGAUUGGUUAGUGCCUUCGGCCUUACAAAGCCCUGGAGGAGCCCCAGGAAGCCAUGGAGGAACACAGCGCUUACAGGAUCCAAAGAGGGUGGAAAUAGUGGGCUGAGGGGCGUGGGGCCUUACAGGAGGAACAAGGCGGAAAGCUUGGGUGGAGUGUGUCGCAACGACCCCUACAUUUGUCUGACAGGGCCCAGGCUCAAGGAGUGCCUGUCCCUCUGGGGUGUGACACAGGCCCCGCAGGGGCACACUGCAAGCUGGCCCUGUUUCAGGAUGAGGAACACGGGGAAUGAGACUCGGGAACCUGCUCCUGCUCCUGGCUGAGUAGGCCAGCACGUCCAAACCUUUUUUUCUCAGCAUGGAGUGUGGAUUAAUCUUCGUGUCUCACAUGACAGGAUGGAUUUUGUUAUCCACCGAGUGCUCCUGGAGUCUAUUCAAAUGUCCCAAAUGUCUCGAGCAACAGAGGGGCAAAGAGGAGUUUCUCUGCAGUCUGUGUCCCCGAGCUGGUGGACACAGAAGCUGCCUGCUGGUUCACCUAGAUGAACCCUACACCCUGGCCUCCAGUCUCCUCUUCACAAAGCCAAUCUCGGGGCCGAGAGGCAUAAACUUGGGUCCUCUGAUCUCUCUGUUGAAUUCAUGGACGCCCUAGUGGGAAUUCUAAAAAGAUAUGUAAGUCUAGGAACUACUGCAGGACUGCAGUGGGCUUUAUCAGGGAUCUAGAGUGAGUUAACCUACCUAUGAUCAUCAAGAUAGCUUCACUGUCAGACUGCAGAGGCCUUUAAAGGAGUGUGUAGCCAGCUGAUGACACUGGCGAAUGGCUUGGGAGACAAGGUUACAGGUGAUGGGAAGUAGGAGAUGGUGUUGGGGGGGGAGGGGGAGGUGUCCACCAGAGAAGCCAAUAGAAAGAAAGACUUUGUUAGCCGGGCAGUGACUGCCCUUAGUGUCUGGGAUCCUGGUGUAGCCUGAGCCUUCUUCAGGAUGAGCUUUUAAACACGAAACCCGUGUUCUGGACUGACCGACUUCAGUUAACAAGAACAGUAAACCAGAAGUGGAUCUACAGAAGCCAAAGACCAAGGUUAGUCCAUAGAGAGAGAGAGAGCAUCCCGUAACUGGGGGCUUUGAUGCAUUAGACCUUGUUUCUGUAUUUGGCGAGCGGUACUGUCGCCGUGCUGAGUCUUAGAGCCCGAGUGGCACUGCCAUCGUCGAGUCAGUUGUGCCAAGGUCUGGUGGCCUCUUACUGGAGGCACUUGUGUUUUGAGUGGUAGAAGGUGUUGCAUUUUCAGUCCCAAUAAUACAGCUCUGGAGGGGAACAUUCCCAAGGCCCCUGGCCGCCCAAUAGGGGAGCAGCUGACUCAGGGAGUGGUAUUUGCUCAUGGUGUUCGAGUUCGAGAUAGGGUGUCCCCUGUCCUACUUUCACUUGGAAUUGUAUUGGAAAUAUUUUAGACUUUUUUUUUUUUGACACUUUAGUGUGUAUGUUUGCUUGAAUGUAUGCUGGUACCCAUACGCCAGAAGAGGGCGCUGGGUUCCCUGGGACUGGACUUACAGAGGGUUGUGCAAGGGAAUUGAACCCCGGUCCUCUGCAAGAGCAGCCACUGAGCCAUCUUUCCAGACCCUGAAGCAGGGGUGCAGGCUGCCGCUUUAUUCCUUAUGUGAAGGUUUGACUAAAAAAAGUCAUGAAGCCUUUUAUGGUAGUGCAUGCGUUUAAUCCCAGCGCUCAGGAGACAGAGGACAGUGAAUCUCUGUGAGUUUGAGGCCAGCCUGGUCUACAGAGGGAUUUCCAUAACAGCCAGAGCUACACACAGAAACUCUGUCUCCAAAAACAAACAAACAAACAAUAAAAAGAAAGAAAGAAAGGAAGAAAGAAAGAAAGAAAGAAAGAAAGGAAAAGAAAGAAAGAAAAACUCACUGAAGAGCAGUCAACAGACAAAUGCACAGCAAUACAAACCUAAUGGUGUUGGCCACUGGUCAGACAUCAGUCCUGUAGCAAAAUGGAAUGGAAGAACUUUAGGCCAAUUCACAAGGUAAAAAUAAAUGUGAAAAUAGGAGCCAGGCUCGGUGGCGCACACCUGUAAUCCCAGCACUCAGGGAGGCAGAGGCAGGCGGAUCCCUGUGAAUUUGAGGCCAGCCUGGUCUACAACGUGAGUCCGUGAGUCCAGGACAGACAAGGGUAUACGGAGAAACCCUGUCUUGAAAAGGAAAUUCUAAAAAUCAGACCUGUAAGUGCGAAAAGGAGUGAGGACAUAAGAACUAAGUGACGAUGAUCCGUUUCUGGUAUGAGGUGAAUUCAAGCUCCUUGGAGAAUCGCAGGUGAGCGGGAAGCUCUGGCCCUCUUCCCCGACUGCCUACGUUGCCUGUGGGAGGAGGGGGCACCUGGGAGGGACUUCUGAGAAGACUGUGUGGAGGGCCGGCCUACGGGGAAAGGAGAGCAGGGAGCCGUGGUCCCUUGCCACACACACGGGCGUGCCAGCUGCGGCUGCCUUCUGUCCAGGCUGACGCCGGGUCUUGAAGAAUAAAUCCCAUCUGGCGUUCUCUCUGAAGUCUCAGCUUUGUUGUGGAGGGAGGGUCCCGCACAGAUGGGGCAUUUUCAUGUGAGCACGGAAUGCGUUUGAUCCCAUAGCCUCACCCCCUCUCCUCGGACCCCUAACCCUGCCAGCUGGUCCCUUCUGUCGUCAUGCUUUGUCUCCUUAUGGUAAGCUGUAUUCCCUUGUGUGGUGCUAAAGGGAACACAGGGGCCAUGAACAGGAGAGCCAUAGAAAUCCCUGCACUGUGGAGGCAGACAGGAUCACCAUAGGCCAGCCUGGGCUAAGGUAGCAAGACCACAUUCAGCUCUCGAGGCAGGAGACACGGUUAGUUGUUAAGACCUGUGUCAGGUGACACCCAGCACCUGUACCUCCAGCCUCGGGGACUCCAGCGCCUCUGGCCUUCACCUGUGCCUGCACAGACACGCAGAAACCCACAGACACACAAUUAAAAGCAAUCUAAAGACUCAGGAGGCAGAUCUCUGUGAGUGUUUGAGACCAGUCUGGUCUCCAUAGCAAGUUCCAAGCCAGCAGGGCUACACAGUGAGACUGUCUCAAAACAAAACAAAACAAAAAACUCACGGCAAACAGUGUCAUGGUCAGGGCUCAGUGGGGAGGAGCCAGGCAGCACAUUCCUGAAGCCCUUGGUUCCAUCCCCAGCUCCACACGAACCAGAUAUGAGAGGCACACCUGUCAUCCCAGAAUUGAGAAGCUGAGGCAGGAGGACAGCUGUUAAGUUUUAGGUCAGUCUAGGAUACAUAAUGAGUUCUAUGCCUACUUGGGCUACAGAGCUAACAAUGUGUCUCAAAACAAAAUAAACACAACAAAGCAAA